AGCGAACGCUGGCGGCGUGCUUAACACAUGCAAGUCGCGCGCGAAAGGGAGCUUCGGCUGCUGAGUAGAGCGGCGAACGGGUGCGUAAGACGCGGGUGACCUAUCCACGAGGCGGGGAUAACCCUUCGAAAGAGGGGCUAAUACCGGAUGAGCCCACAGGCAGAGAUGCGUAGGGGGCAAAGGGUGCUGUGUACUCGCAGCAUGUCUUUGUGGAGGGGCCCACGGCCUAUCAGCUAGUUGGCGGGUAACGGCCCACCAAGGCUAUGACGGGUAGCUGGUCUGAGAGGACGACCAGCCACACGGGGACUGAGACACGGCCCCGACUCCUACGGGAGGCAGCAGUGGGAAUUUUCCGCAAUGGGCGAAAGCCUGACGGAGUGACGCCGCGUGUGGGACGAAGGCC
rnacentral:rRNA from 1 species